UAGAAUGCAAGUCGAGCGGUAAGGCCCUUCGGGGUACACGAGCGGCGAACGGGUGAGUAACACGUGAGCAACCUGCCCCUGACUCUGGGAUAAGCGGUGGAAACGCCGUCUAAUACCGGAUACGACACACCGCCUCAUGGCGUGUGUGUGGAAAGUUUUAUCGGUCAGGGAUGGGCUCGCGGCCUAUCAGCUAGUUGGUGGGGUAAAGGCCUACCAAGGCGAUUACGGGUAGCCGGCCUGAGAGGGCGACCGGCCACACUGGGACUGAGACACGGCCCAGACUCCUGCGGGAGGCAGCAGUGGGGAAUAUUGCACAAUGGGCGAAAGCCUGAUGCAGCGACGCCGCGUGGGGGAUGACGGCCUUCGGGUUGUAAACCUCUUUUACCACCAACGCAGGCUCCACGUACUCGUGGGGUUGACGGUAGGUGGGGAAUAAGGACCGGCUAACUACGUGCCAGCAGCCGCGGUAAUACGUAGGGUCCGAGCGUUGUCCGGAAUUAUUGGGCGUAAAGAGCUCGUAGGCGGCGUGUCACGUCUGCUGUGAAAGACCGGGGCUUAACUCCGGUUCUGCAGUGGAUACGGGCAUGCUAGAGGUAGGUAGGGGAGACUGGAAUUCCUGGUGUAGCGGUGAAAUGCGCAGAUAUCAGGAGGAACACCGGUGGCGAAGGCGGGUCUCUGGGCCUUACCUGACGCUGAGGAGCGAAAGCAUGGGGAGCGAACAGGAUUAGAUACCCUGGUAGUCCAUGCCGUAAACGUUGGGCGCUAGGUGUGGGGACUUUCCACGGUUUCCGCGCCGUAGCUAACGCAUUAAGCGCCCCGCCUCCGGAGUACGGCCGCAAGGCUAAAACUCAAAGGAAUUGACGGGGGCCCGCACAAGCGGCGGAGCAUGUUGCUUAAUUCGACGCAACGCGAAGAACCUUACCAAGGUUUGA
rnacentral:rRNA from 1 species